rnacentral:rRNA from 1 species
UACAGAGGUCCCGAGCGUUGUUCGGAUUCAUUGGGCGUAAAGGGUGCGUAGGCGGCCUGGCAAGUCGGGUGUGAAAUCCCGGGGCUCAACCCCGGAACUGCACUCGAUACUGCCUGGCUAGGGUACUGGAGAGGAGACUGGAAUUUACGGUGUAGCAGUGAAAUGCGUAGAUAUCGUAAGGAAGACCAGUGGCGAAGGCGAGUCUCUGGACAGUUACCGACGCUGAGGCACGAAGGUCAGGGGAGCAAACGGG